rnacentral:tRNA from 1 species
GGGCACAUGGUGUAGCUGGUUAUCACGCUCGCUUUGCAUCUUUGAUUGCGAGUGGUCUCCGGUUCGAUUCCGGAUGUGUCCA